rnacentral:rRNA from 1 species
AGAGUUUGAUCCUGGCUCAGGAUGAACGCUAGCGACAGGCCUAACACAUGCAAGUCGAGGGGCAACAUGGUAUCAGCUUGCUGAUACCGAUGGCGACCGGCGCACGGGUGAGUAACGCGUAUGUAAUCUACCUGUAACAGAGGGAUAACCCGGAGAAAUCCGGACUAAUACCUCAUAGCACAUAUUAUUCGCAUGAGUUUUAUGUUAAAGAGAUUCGGUUACAGAUGAACAUGCGUUCCAUUAGCUGGUUGGCGGGGUUACGGCCCACCAAGGCAACGAUGGAUAGGGGUUCUGAGAGGAAGGUCCCCCACACUGGUACUGAGACACGGACCAGACUCCUACGGGAGGCAGCAGUGAGGAAUAUUGGUCAAUGGGCGGAAGCCUGAACCAGCCAAGUCGCGUGGAGGAAGACGGCCCUACGGGUUGUAAACUCCUUUUACCUGGGAAUAACGGGCGCUACGCGUAGCGCUGUGCAAGUACCGGGAGAAUAAGCAUCGGCUAAUUCCGUGCCAGCAGCCGCGGUAAUACGGAAGAUGCGAGCGUUAUCCGGAUUUAUUGGGUUUAAAGGGUGCGUAGGCGGAAGAAUAAGUCAGCGGUGAAAUGCUUCAGCUCAACUGGAGAAUUGCCGAUGAAACUGUUUUUCUAGAGUAUAAAAGAGGUAUGCGGAAUGCGUGGUGUAGCGGUGAAAUGCAUAGAUAUCACGCAGAACCCCGAUUGCGAAGGCAGCAUACUGGGCUAUAACUGACGCUGAAGCACGAAAGCGUGGGUAUCGAACAGGAUUAGAUACCCUGGUAGUCCACGCCGU